ACUCCACGUCCGACUCCCGAUCCAACUAAACAGGACCCCUCAAGGCCGACUCGGGUAGCAGGCCAGCAGUGACUUUCUUUAACGGGAUUGCUAAUUUUCAUCCGUAUGAAAAUAAUUCGCUUUCAUCCGUUUUUCUACCCGUCGGAUUUUGGUGUCAAGAUUCACGUUUUUCCUUUUCUUUUCCAGACUCGGGGUUGUUUUGUUCGUUACCGGGCCCGUAAUCUUCUCCUUGGAGACCCGUUAAUCCUGGCGGGUCCGUGUACUAGCCGGUUUUUUCUUUUAUUUUCGAAUUUCCUUUUAUCUUCUCCGCUGACUUUGUCUGUUUUCCUUUCCCAUUUGGAGCGGCAAGAUCUUGGAGGCAGAGAGGAGAGAGCCAUGGCGAUUUUGGUAGGUUAGCUUUGUCGCUGAUCUCUGGAGAGCGAGCCAGUGGUUAGGCGCCCGGUCCCCCUCCCCCUCCCCCUCCCCCAUCCCCUGUUGCUUCUCCUUGAAGUGUGUUGAGGCAGAGGAGAGGUCGAUGCAUGGUGAUUCGGCAGCGGUGUCUUAUCUGCUUCUGUUGAUUUCGUCCCGCCCCUCCUUUUGCUGUGGUGUUUCGACCCCUGUGCCUCCCUUCUUCACGCAACGAGGAAAAUCCAUUCAAUAUGUGCAUGUACAUUCAUGAAAUCUAAUUCAGAAUUUUUAGGAAUUACCUUUUCUUAGUGGAUUUUACACUGUAAUCCUAAUUGGAUUUACAGUGUAAUUCUUAGUGUAUUUUAGUGGUUUUUUUACAGUGUAAUUACAGUGUUAUUCUUAGUGGAUCCUUAGUGGAUUUGUACUGUAAUUCUACUUGGAUUUACAGUGUAUUUUCUCACUGUACUUCUCAGUGGAUUUACAAUGUUUUUAGUGGUUUUACAUUGUAAUUUUUAGUGAAUCUUCAUUGUAAUUCUUAGUGCUCUUGUAAUGUAAUUCUUUAAUUGAUUUACAGUGUAUUUUCUAAAUGUAUUUACACUGUAAUUGUUAGUGCUUUAGAAAGGAAUCUAAUUCUUUUGUUGCACAGCAGCAAGGUUCAA